rnacentral:tRNA from 1 species
GGAGGGUAUAGCUCAGUGGUAGAGUGCAUGCCUAGCAUGCAUGAGGUCCUAGGUUCAAUCCCCAGUACCUCCA